AUGCAUCCGUUUAUAGGCUCUCCACAAGGGUCACAUUCCAUUCCCAGAGCUAUGAACAUCUGCUUUUCUAGGAUAGGAAUCUUGGUGAUGUGAAACCUCCCUGACUGCACGUCCAUUCAUAGGCUCUCUGCAGGGGAAAGCACAUCACGUGCUGUUGGCUCAUUCUGGCAGUCCAACCUGGCAUUGUCUUUACACAAUCCUGCAUGCAAUUAUGUAUUUACAAUAAUCAGGAGCAUUUCAUCUUUUAUUCCAUAGCAAUAGUUUCAGGGGGUCUCCCUACAUCAACCUCUGGUUCCCUCUGGUGCUGUUUUCUGAGCACACUGUGAACUUCCUUGCUGGUAAGGGUGCUUGUGCUGCCUCCCCUAUGGGAAUGCCCUUUUCAACCCAGAAGUCACUCAGCUUGUCAGGGUCCAGGUCACUCCAUGAGGUCAGCUGGCAAGGCUUAUUCCCAGGGGCUGGCCCAGCACAGCUCUCCACCAUUGGUUGGGUGGAUCCUGAACUCCUAUGAGGUUGGGCAUGUUGAUGAGCCAUCUCCCCUCUGGACUAAGAGGCCCAUGAGGAUGGCGGAGACCACAGUGCAAAUGUGGCCCUCAAUACAUGUUGGAUGAGGCAAGUUCUAUGUCACCAGGAGCUCAGUGGGGUUUAGCAUCCUUGGACAUGGCUCCACAUUAGAACAGUGAUAACAGAACAAUUAUUGUGAGCUCCUAUUGAGACAGGAAAAUAGGGCCUAGAAACAGGGAACUUAAGGCCACUCUGUGCUAACUUCCUAAAAGAGAAAACACCAGGGUCUGGAGGCAGGAAAUCUAAGGCCAAUUCACUCUGACUUCCCAAAGCUGGAUCAAAAGGAAAAUACCGGGGUCUGGGGGCAGGAAACCUAAGGCUGAUUAACACAAACUUCCUAAAGCUAAACCAAAAGACAAAAACCCCAUCUCUCCAUGCUGAGUAACAAAGGAUCAGAGGCUACUCUCCCUACAACCAUCCCUCUUCCACCACAUCUCAGAUGGAAAGGGAGGGGAGGGUGCCUUGUUGACCAUGGGCCAAGCAGGGACCAUCCCUUCAUCUGCAUAGGGUGCCAGUUCACCUCAGCCUUUAAUUAGCCACAGACCAAAUCCUUCAUCCAGAUAAGGGGUAGUCAUUAAGAACCUCAAAUAGGGUACUUAAAGCCCAGAAAACUUUGUAACUGGGCCCUUGAGCCACUUGCUCAGACCCACUCUCACCUUGCAGAGGGCUUUCUCACUUUAAUAAAUUCCUGCUUUCACUGCUUUGUUCCUGCAUUUCAUUCCUCUGCUACUUUAUGCAUUUUGUUCAAUUCUUUGUUCAAAACGCCAAAGACCUGGACAACUCGUAGUCAAUCUGCUGUGCUAAGUGCUCUGCUAGUCUGUGUCAUUUACUGUGCACACCCAUCUCUUGGGUGGAUAUUAGGAAUGAGCCCAUUUCUCCAAUGAGCCAAGCUAGGCCAUGGAGGGGUUGAGCCAUGGUGCAGUUUCUGCAGUGAAGAAGCAACAGGGCCAGAAUAGGCCCACAUGGUCAGACUCUCAGACUUACAACCUUACUCAAGUACAAUGAGUGUUCCAAUGAUCUGAGCAGAAGAAGUUGUCUUUGUAAGCAGAAAAUGGCUGAAGAAAGCAAAAAGAGAAAACAGAGCAGAUUAGUCAUUGAUGUGGUUUGGCUGUUUUGUCCCUCUAAAUCUCAUGUUGAAAUGUGACCUUCAGCGUUGGAGGUGGGUUUAGUGGGAGGUGUUUGGGUCAUAGAGGUGGAUCUCUCAUAAAUGGUUUGGUGCUGUCCUUGUGGUAAUGAGUGAGUUCUCUGUUAGGUACAAACCACCCCAAAGAGCUUCUUGGUACUGCCAACACUCCCCGCAAACCUCUCCGCGCUGCCCACCCUUCCCCCAAACCUUCUUACAUUUCCAAGCCCUUAUCUAGGCACCGCAGUGAAGCCAGCCUGAUAGAAGACUUUACCUAUCAGGCCUUGCUGCGAUAAAGCAAACCCCAAUUACAAACCAUCCGGACCAAACGGGGAGGUUGUGGGAAGCAUAAACAAACUUUACCUACACCCUCCAGUACCGUAAACAUCACAAGGUGAUAUGUGGCAGAAUUAAC
rnacentral:lncRNA from 10 species